rnacentral:rRNA from 1 species
CGGGUGAGUAACACGUGAGUAACCUGCCUUACACAAGGGGAUAGCCUUUGGAAACGAAGAAUAAUACCCUAUAAAGUCAAAAUAUCGCAUGAUAUAGUGACCAAAGAUUUAUCGGUGUAAGAUGGACUUGCGUCUGAUUAGCUAGUUGGUGAGAUAAAAGCUCACCAAGGCGACGAUCAGUAGCCGGCUUGAGAGAGUGUACGGCCACAUUGGGACUGAGACACGGCCCAA